rnacentral:snRNA from 1 species
AUCUUUGCGCUUGGGGCAAUGACGCAGCUAGUGAGGUUCUAACCGAGGCGCGUCUAUUGCUGGUUGAAAACUAUUUCCAAACCCCCUCUUAGGCCUGGGUUCAGCCUAGGCCUUAGAGAAUUUUGGAAGGGUUCCCUUCGGGGUAAAUC